rnacentral:rRNA from 1 species
ACACAUGCAAGUCGAGGGGCAGCAUGACCUAGCAAUAGAUUGAUGGCGACCGGCGCCCGGGUGAGUAACACGUAUCCAACCUACCGGUUAUUCCGGGAUAGCCUUUCGAAAGAAAGAUUAAUACCGGAUAGUAUAACGAGAAGGCAUCUUUUUGUUAUUAAAGAAUUUCGAUAACCGAUGGGGAUGCGUUCCAUUAGUUUGUUGGCGGGGUAACGGCCCACCAAGACAUCGAUGGAUAGGGGUUCUGAGAGGAAGGUCCCCCACAUUGGAACUGAGACACGGUCCAAACUCCUACGGGAGGCAGCAGUGAGGAAUAUUGGUCAAUGGACGAGAGUCUGAACCAGCCAAGUAGCGUGAAGGAUGACUGCCCUAUGGGUUGUAAACUUCUUUUAUAUGGGAAUAAAGUGAGCCACGUGUGGCUUUUUGUAUGUACCAUACGAAUAAGGAUCGGCUAACUCCGUGCCAGCAGCCGCGGUAAUACGGAGGAUCCGAGCGUUAUCCGGAUUUAUUGGGUUUAAAGGGAGCGUAGGCGGACUAUUAAGUCAGCUGUGAAAGUUUGCGGCUCAACCGUAAAAUUGCAGUUGAUACUGGUCGUCUUGAGUGCAGUAGAGGUAGGCGGAAUUCGUGGUGUAGCGGUGAAAUGCUUAGAUAUCACGGAGAACUCCGAUUGCGAAGGCAGCUUACUGGACUGUAACUGACGCUGAUGCUCGAAAGUGUGGGUAUCAAACAGGAUUAGAUACCCUGGUAGUCCACACAGUAAACGAUGAAUACUCGCUGUUUGCGAUAUACGGCAAGCGGCCAAGCGAAAGCAUUAAGUAUUCCACCUGGGGAGUACGCCGGCA